rnacentral:rRNA from 1 species
GAAACGACUGCUAAGACUGGAUAGGAAGAUAAAAGGCAUCUUGUAUCUUUUAAAAGACCUAGUUAAUGGGUAUGCUUUAGGAGGGGCUUGCGCCAUAUUAGUUAGUUGGUAGGGUAAUGGCCUACCAAGACGAUGAUGUGUAGCUGGACUGAGAGGUUGAACAGCCACAUUGGGACUGAGACACGGCCCAAACUCCUACGGGAGGCAGCAGUAGGGAAUUUUCGGCAAUGGAGGAAACUCUGACCGAGCAACGCCGCGUGAAUGACGAAGUACUUCGGUAUGUAAAGUUCUUUUAUCGAGGAAGAAAAGUAAAUGGCGAACCAUUUGUUUGCCGGUACUUGAUGAAUAAGCCCCGGCUAAUUAUGUGCCAGCAGCCGCGGUAAGACAUAAGGGGCAAGUGUUAUCCGGAAUUAUUGGGCGUAAAGGGUGCGUAGGCGGUCUAGUAAGUCAGUGGUGUAAUGGCAACGCUUAACGUUGUCCGGCUAUUGAAACUGCUAAACUUGAGUUAGAUAGAGGCGAGUGGAAUUCCAUGUGUAGCGGUAAAAUGCGUAAAUAUAUGGAGGAACACCAGAGGCGUGGGCGGCUCGCUGGGUCUUAACUGACGCUGAGGCACGAAAGCGUGGGGAGCAAACAGGAUUAGAUACCCUGGUAGUCCACGCCGUAAACGAUGAGUACUAAGUGUCGGGUUAAACCGGUACUGAAGUUAACACAUUAAGUACUCCGCCUGAGUAGUACGUACGCAAGUAUGAAACUUAAAGGAAUUGACGGGACUCCGCACAAGCGGUGGAUCAUGUUGUUUAAUUCGAAGAUACCCGAAAAACCUUACCAGGUCUUGACAUGUUUUUGCAAAAUGAUAGUAAUAUCGUGGAGGUUACCAGAAACACAGGUGGUGCAUGGUUGUCGUCAGCUCGUGUCGUGAGAUGUUAGGUUAAGUCCUAAAACGAGCGAAACCCUUAUCGUUAGUUGCCAGCACGUUAUGGUGGGGACUUUAACGAGACUGCCAAUGAUAAAUUGGAGGAAGGUGAGGAUCACGUCAAAUCAGCAUGCCCCUUAUGACCUGGGCUACAAACGUGAUACAAUGGCUGUUACAAAGGGUAGCUGAAACGCAAGUUCUUGGCCAAUCCCCAAAAACAGUCCCAGUCCGGAUUGAAGUCUGCAACUCGACUUCAUGAAGUUGGAAUCGCCAGUAAUCGCGAAUCAGCAUGUCGCGGUGAAUACGUUCUCGGGGUUUGUACACACCGCCCGUCA